GACGAACGCUGGCGGCGUGCUUAACACAUGCAAGUCGAGCGGAUGGGCGCAGCUUUUUUGGGGUGCUCGAGUGGCGAACGGGUGAGUAACCUGUGAGUAUGCUGCGCUUGGCGUUAGAAUAACUUCAGGAAAGUGGUGAUAAUACCGAAUACGAGCUUCUGCUGCAUGGUGGGGGUUGGAAAGUUUCGGCGGUUGGGGAUAGACUCGCGGCUUAUCAGCUUGUUGGUUGAGUAGUGGCUUACCAAGGCAGUGGCUGGUAGCCCGCCUGGGAGGGUGGCCGGGCACCAUACGACUGAGAUACGGCCCAGACGCCUACGGGAGGCAGUGGUGGAGAAUAUUGUACAAUGGGCGGAAGUCUGAGGAAGAAGUCUUGCGUGCGUGAUGACGGCCUUCGGGUGGGAAAGCGCAGUCGCCUGUGACGAAGCGGGAUUGACGGUAAUGGGUGAAGAAGCACCGGCUAACUACGUG
rnacentral:rRNA from 1 species